rnacentral:rRNA from 1 species
GACUACAAGGGUAUCUAAUCCUGUUUGCUACCCACGCUCUCGCGUCUCAGCGUCAGUAUAGGGCCAGAAAGUCGCCUUCGCCACCGGUGUUCCUCCUGAUAUCUACGAAUUUCACCUCUACACCAGGAAUUCCACUUUCCUCUCCCCUACUCAAGCUGAAUAGUUUCAAAUGCACUUCCUGGGUUAAGCCCAGGGAUUUCACAUCUGACUUAUUCAGCCGCCUACACGCUCUUUACGCCCAAUAAUUCCGAACAACGCUUGCACCCCCCGUAUUACCGCGGCUGCUGGCACGGAGUUAGCCGGUGCUUCCUUUAGCGGUACCGUCAAAUAUCAUGGAUAUUAGCCACGAUACAUUUCUUCCCGCUCGACAGAGCUUUACGGUCCGAAAACCUUCCUCACUCACGCGGCGUUGCUGCGUCAGGGUUGCCCCCAUUGCGCAAUAUUCCUCACUGCAGCCUCCCGUAGG